AUGCAAGUCGAACGCUGAAGCCCCAGCUUGCUGGGGUGGAUGAGUGGCGAACGGGUGAGUAACACGUGAGUAACCUGCCCCUGACUUCGGGAUAAGCCCGGGAAACUGGGUCUAAUACCGGAUACGACCUGUCCUCGCAUGAGGGUGGGUGGAAAGUUUUUUCGGUUGGGGAUGGGCUCGCGGCCUAUCAGUUUGUUGGUGAGGUAAUGGCUCACCAAGACGACGACGGGUAGCCGGCCUGAGAGGGCGACCGGCCACACUGGGACUGAGACACGGCCCAGACUCCUACGGGAGGCAGCAGUGGGGAAUAUUGCACAAUGGGGGAAACCCUGAUGCAGCGACGCAGCGUGCGGGAUGACGGCCUUCGGGUUGUAAACCGCUUUCAGCAGGGAAGAAGCGAAAGUGACGGUACCUGCAGAAGAAGUACCGGCUAACUACGUGCCAGCAGCCGCGGUAAUACGUAGGGUACGAGCGUUGUCCGGAAUUAUUGGGCGUAAAGAGCUCGUAGGUGGUUGGUCACGUCUGCUGUGGAAACGCAACGCUUAACGUCGCGCGUGCAGUGGGUACGGGCUGACUAGAGUGCAGUAGGGGAGUCUGGAAUUCCUGGUGUAGCGGUGAAAUGCGCAGAUAUCAGGAGGAACACCGGUGGCGAAGGCGGGACUCUGGGCUGUAACUGACACUGAGGAGCGAAAGCAUGGGGAGCGAACAGGAUUAGAUACCCUGGUAGUCCAUGCCGUA
rnacentral:rRNA from 1 species